GGCCGCCUGGCGAAAUGGCAUCGGGUCUGACUACGAAUCAGGAGAUUGCAGGUUCGACCCCUGCGGUGGUCA
rnacentral:tRNA from 1 species